UCCCCAGUGGCCUCUCUCUGUUGGGGUUAUGGUCGGUAGUAGGAUUGCCCCAUGCUUCUGCUGCAAGCCUCACUUUGUGAUGGUUCACAGCAGUUACUGCUAUGUUUUGAAGCUGACAAUCCCCACUAUCUUCUCCAAGCUGUCUCUGGGUUCGAUUGCUGCUCCAAGGGAUCUAAGACACAGCUGUGGAUAGAGGCCUACAUCUGAGGAGCCCAUUCCACAUUUCAUGCCACAGCACUCUGAGUCUCUAUGCAAACUAAACAGAGCCAGGACGGCUAUAAAUUGUAGUUAGAUGAUUGUGCAUUUAAUGCUUCUCAUAAAUGCAUAAAGUUUGUCUUCAGAAAGCUGUAAUGAAGAAAAGCAGAUUGAAGCCAGGAAGUGUCUCGUUAGCAUGUGAUGGAAAUGUUAAUCAGGGCUCUUUAAGGAGGAUGUGAUUAAUUCAUUCCCCACUCACUGCUGUGGGAGGGUCUGAGGACAAAUCUGGAAGCAAAGGGUAAAUUGGUUGGAGGGAGCAGAGGGAAGGGGCUGUUCUGUGAUGAGUGGGGUUCUAUGGAGUUGCCCUGGGUGCUUCUCCCUCGUGUUACUGUGCUUCUGUGGGCCUGGAGCAAAGACCGACCUGACAGCUGGCCUCACAGAAAUGAGGAACCCGUCUGCCCCACCUGUCCUGCCCUGCCAGAGCUGCAUUCAGACUGAUGGAAGGAAAAGGGGCUCAGGAGCAGAGCUGUGAGUGGGCACAGCAGGGACCAGCAGGGUUUUUCCUGCAGCUUUCCUUUAAUCCAGACAAAUGAGUCUGCCUCCCCCUGCUGUCAGCUGCAGUCAACGUUUUGCUUCGGAGCGUCUCAGAAGGAGAGGUGAGCACUGUGCAGCCAGGAGCUUUGGGCAGCCCAGUGAAGGCCUCCUGCACUUGCCUGUUCUCCAGAGUGCAGUGUGAAGGACCCAACAGAACCCCAACCCUGUGCUGAGGUAUCCCAGACCUCGUGCCAACCUCUGUGGAUGAUAUCUUGUAUAGCAUCAGCGACUUCAAAUUCAUUUUGUUCAACAGAGCCGUGACUGCACCACACUUUUGUAACCAAGCACUUUCAGUGAUGGGUGUGUGAGGGUUAAACUAAAUGAUGUCCCAGUUCGUGCUGUGCCACUGCCUGCAUAGAGUCUGUGUGGGCAGCUCGGACUGAGCUGCGGAAAAGGCAAGAGGCAGGAUGAAGGGAGCAUAACCACGUAUGUGUGGUGCUGCCUGGCCCAAAUAUUGCUACUAGAACACUUUUAAAAAUAAUAAUAAAUGAUUAGAUUUAAAAUUAGGGCAUUUUUGAGUGUUGGUAGCAGAAAAAUGGAUUUCAAAAUUGUCAAGCUUUGUCCCUUCUGUGAGCUCCUGUUCUCUUGGU